GGUCUCGCCGGAAGCGAGACCGCCGAACAUGAAGGAG
rfam:Mesorhizobium sp. TASWS1009 41, whole genome shotgun sequence.